UACGUAGGGCGCAAGCGUUGUCCGGAAUUAUUGGGCGUAAAGAGCUCGUAGGCGGUUUGUCGCGUCUGCUGUGAAAACUCGAGGCUCAACCUCGGGCUUGCAGUGGGGUACGGGCAGACUAGAGUGCGGUAGGGGUGACUGGAAUUCCUGGUGUAGCGGUGGAAUGCGCAGAUAUCAGGAGGAACACCGAUGGCGAAGGCAGGUCACUGGGCCGCAACUGACGCU
rnacentral:rRNA from 1 species